UCAAAGUAGCCCCAUAGAAUCCAUGUUUCCCCACAAUGAUAUAUAUCAUUAAUCGAUAAUGAGAAAACAUUACAUUUUAAUACACCAAGCUUUGGUUUAACCCAACGAUUGUUCUGCCUCAUAAAUUGACUGGUCAUACGAUUAGAAACUUGAUGGUUGGACGUAUUUUGUUUCCAAAGCCACCUCUUCCCAUUUCCCAAUUAGUUCCCACUCUUUAUUGAAUGAAUAGUUACCAUCUUUAGUAUAUGCCCACGGCUCAGGAGAAAAAGAUCUAAUUCUCAUACCGAUAUACCAUCACAAGGAGGG